rnacentral:rRNA from 1 species
UACGGGAGUGGCAAGCGUUAUCCGGAAUUAUUGGGCGUAAAGCGUCCGCAGGCGGUUCUGUAAGUCUGUCGUUAAAGCGUGGAGCUCAACUCCAUUUCGGCGAUGGAAACUGCAGGACUUGAGUGUGGUAGGGGCAGAGGGAAUUCCCGGUGUAGCGGUGAAAUGCGUAGAUAUCGGGAAGAACACCAGUGGCGAAGGCGCUCUGCUGGGCCAUAACUGACGCUCAUGGACGAAAGCCAGGGG